AUUUCAAGGUUUCAAUUUUCUCACCUGCAAAAUAAGAGCCCACUUCACAGUGUUGCCAGGGCAGGAAGCGAGCUGAAGCCCUAAGGCGCUCAGAGAGUGUCGGCACGCGGCGGGGCCGCCGGCGUGGCCAUGAUUACUGUCUCCCACGGCCGCUGGGACGCAGGGAGCAUUAUUAAAUAUUUGUUCUUAAACAAAUGGAUAAUAUUCCUACUGAAGUUACAGUCUAUGUGAAAUACUUGUUUAAACGAUAAAAAAAGAACCCUAAACCAUGCCAAUUACACAAAUAUCCCCCUUGGAGCUUUAGGUCCAUUCGCGGGACGUUCCUAGUCUCUGGGGCAUAGCCAGUGUCAGCCUCUUACUGAAAGGACAACCACACAUGGAAAACUAACGUUAAACCACAGGGAAGCUUCCGGGUAACGAAGUCAGCGUUCCAGGCUGCUAUUGAGGAUGAAAAUGAAGAGAUGGAGUUUCUGCCCCAAGAGACUCACAGGAGUUUGAAACUUCAUGGGCUACUUCCUCCUCCCUGUUCCUUCUUUAUUACAGAAAUUUAAGCUUUCCUUCCUCCUUUCUAAAAUGUAUUCAGAUUCUGGGUUACCCUGGCAGCCUCCCUAAAAGUGGUUUCCUGUCCUCUCCUUCAGUGCCGGCAGUGGGAAGAGUCGUCCCCCUGCACCAGGUGUCCCGCACGAGGCCAGGUCCGGCUCACCUUGACCUGAAACCCCAUCGCUCGCUGGUGGCAGAACCUCCCUCUGGCAGCUCUCAGUGUUUAAAAAUCCUGCCCGAAGGUCCGAGUCUGCAAUGUGUUCACAUCUGUUUGGCUGGGACUGUGCAAAUGGAAUUUUGAGCUUCAUGAAGGACAACUGCCUCACGUCAAGCUCCCGGUCAGCUCUGGGGUCUGAUGCACAUAUGAUGAAAUGCGUGAGAACAUUUUUAGUAGAAUUGGGACCGGGGACAGACUGGCUUCUGCUUAAAGGUUGAAGAAAUCUGUGAAAUACAAGAUACCUUAAAGCCAAAAAGACAGCCACAUACUGGGAUCGCACGUUGACAGUGCACGCAACUGACCACAGAUGCGUUACCAACCGACCGACAGUGUAUAGAGCAAGGUCCCACCACAUCGCAAGAAGGACAAACACAAGGUAUGAACCAGCAAGUUACAGAAGGAAAACUCAGAUGAGCGCUGAAGAGAACAAGGUGCUCAGACUCCUCGGCAAUUAAGAAAGUACAAAUCAAAGCCACAAAAGAUAUGCCUUCUCACUCAUCCAUGGGGAUGGCAAAAACAUGUAAAUGCAAAGGAU